GGGUAAUGUAGUCUUUUGGGCGGCUAUGGCACCGUGCUUCCCUCGGAGAAGGGAUUCCACUGAAAGGCUGUAUGGCCAUGUUCCAGAAGCAUUCUCUCCUGAUGUUUUGCCCACAUCUAUGGCAGGCAUCCUCAGACGUUGUGAGGUCUGUUGUGGUCUGUUAUGGUUUUUGGCCCUGUGAUUUUGGUUUGUGUGAUAUUUUGUUGUUUCCUACUGGAGGCGGGGAUGAUGGAUUGCGUUGCCAAUUUUCGAGUUUGGGGGGCCUGUAGAUUUGUUGUUUUGUGCAUCGCCGUGAUGCCAUCAAUCUUUUAUAUAUAUAGAUAGACUAGCUGUGCCCGGCCACGCGUUGCUGUGGCAAAGUGGUGGUGGUAUUGGUUAAAAAUUGUUGUGUAAUUUUUAUUUGACGUUAUUUGCAUUUUUUAAUUAACUUUAUUGUAAGUUAUAUUUUUAUUAUAUUUUAUUAUUUUCUUGUAUUAUUUUUAGUUAUUUUCUGUUAUUAUAGUAUUUUAUUGUAUCACAUUUUUAGUGUUUUUUAUUAUUUUUAUUGGGUUGCUAGGAGACCAAGUUGGAGGAGCUUAGCCUUCUAACUGGCAGCAAUUGGAUAAAAGCAAUUAUUCCUCUCUCUCUAAUUCGGACUUUAUUUUUCUUUGCUUUUUGUUGUAUCAACCUAGAGGCGUGGAUGAUGGGUUGUGUUGUCAAAUUUCGAGUUUGGGGGGCCUGUAGAUUUGUUGUUUUGUGCAUUGCCGUGAUGCCAUCAAUCUUUUAUAUAUAUAGAUUAUUAUUAUUAUUAUCAUCAUUAUUAUUGAGUCUGGAUGGAUAGCCAUCUGUUGGAGGCACUUUGAUAGUGCUUUUCCUGCAUGGUGGAAUAAAUGGGUUGGACUAGAUGACCUUUGGGGGUCCCUUCUAACCUUAUGAUUCUAUUAUAUUAUAUUUAUUAUAUUUAUUAUUGAGACUGGGUGGAUAGCCAUCUCUUGAGGGUGCUUUGAUUGUGCUUUUCCUGCACGGUGGAAUAAAAUGGGUUAGACUAGAUGACCUUUGGGGGUCCCUUCCAACUCUAGGAUUCUAUUAUAUUUAUUGUUAUUAUUAUUAUUAUUAUUAUUAUCAUCAUCAUCAUCAUCAUUAUUAUUGAGUCUGGAUGGAUAGCCAUCUGUUGGAGGCACUUUGAUAGUGCUUUUCCUGCAUGGUGGAAUAAAAUGGGUUGGACUAGAUGACCUUUGGGGAUCCCUUCCAAAUCUAGUAUUCUAUGGUGUUAAUUAUUAUAAGUAGCAUUAUUUUUGUUAUUUUUAUUGAGACUGAGUGGAUGACCUUUGGGGGUCCCUUCCAACUCCUAUAAUAUUUAUUAUUAUUAUUAUUAUUAUUAUUGGGGUUGGACUAGAUGACCUUUGGGGGUCCCUUCUAACCUUAUGAUUCUAUGGCACUGUGGGCUUGUAUCCAGCUUGUGUUCUGCUCCUAAGACCCCGAGAUCCCUCCCUCCCUCCCGUCCCACUCUCCCCUCCCCAUAUGACCCAUCCAGCCACCCCCAAAUGUGGGUCUGAAGCCCCUCGCCCACUUCCCAAUCAGAGGUCAAAAGAGACGCAAAGGAGACACAGACCGGGCAGUGUUCUCAGGUUGAAGGGGAGGCUUUUAUUGGGGGGUGGUCAGGCCUUGUGACGGGGGCUGCGAUGCCCGCCGUUGCUGCUCCUUGGGGCCGCGGAGACCCCUCCUCAGUGGUACCGGCGGGCCAAGGCGUGGGACACCACGUUGACCAGCUUCUGGUAGGCGGCGUGGCAGGCCGGGGUGAAGUCCUUCCCGUGGUGACCGGCCAGGACCAGGAGCAGGAUCUUGCCCAGGAGCUGGAAGGAGAGCAGGUGUGGGUCUUUGGCCUCCCCUACGGGUGUUUUGGACUGCAACUCCCACCAUUCCUCACAGCCGCUUAUACAUGAAAGAUCCCGCUUUCUAACCCCAUGGAUUCAUACUAGAGUUGGAAGGGGCCACAAAGGCCAUCUAGUCCAACCCCGACACUCCAUGUGGACUAGAUGACCUUUGUGGGCCCCUUCCAUGCGGUCACUCCUAGCACGAUGCAAUCACUCUUGGCACUAUGCUAUGUGGUCACUCCUGGCACUGUGUGGUCACUCUUGGAACUAUGUGAUCACUCCUAGCAAUGUGUGGUCACUCCUGACACCAUGCGGUCACUCGUGGCAAUGUACGGUCACUACUGACACUAUGUGGUCACUCUUGGAACUAUGUGGUCACUCCUAGUUCGAUAUGGUCACUCCUGGAACUAUGUGAUCACUCCUAGCAUGAUGUGGUCACUCCUGGCACUGUGACUGGCAAUGUGCAGUCACUCCUGGCAAUGUACGGUCACUACUGACACUAUGUGGUCACUCUUGGAACUAUGUGGUCACUCCUAGCUAAAUAUGGUCACUCCUGGAAAUAUGUGGUCACUACUGGCACUAUGUGAUCACUCCUAGCAUGAUGUGGUCACUCCUGGAACUAUGUGGUCAUUCUUGGAACUAUGUGGUCACUCCUGGCAAUGUGCAGUCACUCCUGACACUAUGCAGUAACUCCUGGCAAUGUACAGCCACUCCUGACACUAUGUGGUCACUCUUGGAACUAUGUGGUCACUACUGGCACUGUGUGGUCACUCCUAGCUCGAUAUGGUCACUCCUGGAACUAUGUGGUCACUACUGGCACCAUGUGGCCACUCCUGACACUAUGUGGUCACUCCUGGCAAUGUGCGGUCACUCCUGACACUAUGUGGUCACUCCUGGCAAUGUGCGGUCACUCCUGACACUAUGUGGUCACUCCUGGCAAUGUGCGGUCACUCCUGGCAAUGUGUGGUCACUCCUGACACUAUGUGGUCACUCUUAGCAAUGUGCAGUCACUCCUGGCAAUGUGUGGUCACUCCUGACACUAUGUGGUCACUCUUAGCAAUGUGCGGUCACUCCUGGCAAUGUGUGGUCACUCCUGACACUAUGUGGUCACUCUUAGCAAUGUGCAGUCACUCCUGGCAAUGUGCGGUCACUCCUGACACUAUGUGGUCACUCUUAGCAAUGUGCAGUCACUCCUGGCAAUGUGUGGUCACUCCUGACACUAUGUGGUCACUCUUAGCAAUGUGCAGUCACUCCUGGCAAUGUGUGGUCACUCCUGACACUAUGUGGUCACUCUUAGCAAUGUGCAGUCACUCCUGGCAAUGUGUGGUCACUCCUGACACUAUGUGGUCACUCUUAGCAAUGUGCAGUCACUCCUGGCAAUGUGUGGUCACUCCUGACACUAUGCGAUCCCUCCUGGCGCUAUGCUGUCUCUCCUGGCACUAUGUGGUCACUCCUGGCCCUACGGAGUGACCGCAGCCUGGCUUUGUGACCCUCACCCGGUGGUGCCCCCCCUCCCUCCCUGGGCCCUACCUUGAAGUUCUCGGGGUCCACGUGGAGCUUGUCACAGUGCAGCUCGCUCAGCUUGGCGAAGGUGUCCUUGAUGUUGUCCAGGCUCUUGAUGGCGUCCCCGAAGGCGGUCAGCACCUUCUUGCCGUGGGCCCGGACCUUGGGGUUGGCGCAGAUGGCCGUGGGGCUGGACAGGUUCCCGAAGUCGGGGAAGAACCUCUGGGUCCAGGGGUAGACGCACAUCAUGCUGCAGGGGAGAAGGAGGGAGCGGUCAAGGUGGGGGUCAAAGCAGGGGUCACUUUGGUCCCCCCAAAAAGGAAGAGAAGGAAAGGGGUGUCCCUUACCCGCCCAGGGAUUCUGCCCCCACGGUGGCCACGUCCACUUUGCCCCAAAGGCCGGUGAUGAGCUGCUUCUCCUCGGCGGUCCAGUGCACCAUGGUGGCGGAGUGGUCAAGCGGGCUCUGCUCUCGAAGGAAAGAAGGAAGGAAGGAAGCGGUCA